rnacentral:lncRNA from 1 species
AUGACAGUUCUUCCUUGUGCAGGACCCACUUGUCCCCAUCAUCCCCAAGUCCCAGUCCCCCAUGUCCCCAGUGCAGUGAGAGCUGGGCUUAGAGCCCCAAACCCGGCCAAAUGGCCUCUCCUGCCCCAUACACCAGGUCCUGCCAGGAGAAACAUCCCCUCCCCAGCCACAACCCCACUGGCUCAGUUACCUUCCCCUCGAGGAGCUGCUCAGGGCGCAGGAACUGGUGGGAGAAGACCUUGUCUCCAGGGGGGCAGCUGCCGGGGGUCUGGUGCCCCAGGGGCCCUGGGCAGAGGGGAGAGGGGAGCGUCAGGGGGGCGCGGUGGCAGCGAGGACUGGCUGUGCUGCGCUUGGCCCACCGGGGCCCCAUGCUGGGGGGGGACAGGUGUCCUCCAGCCCCAUGGCAGCAGGAUGUCCCUCACCUGCUGUGGAAUUCAGCUGCCCGUUGCGUGGCUCCGAUCCCAAAAGGUGCUGCUGGAGGUCAUCGCCGGCGGAGGGCAGCGGCUGGGGGAGAGGAAAGGUGAGCGGAGGAGGGAUUUCCACCAGCGAGGGGCCCUGUCCCACUGCAGGGGGUGCCAGGGUCRGUCUUGCACCCACCGCCAGGAGCGAGGAGGGGAGGUCCCCACCCUGGGCACGGCUUUAACCCCUGGUACCUAUCAGAUCCGUGGGGCUCAACUGGGGGAGCAGGAAGGGGGAGAGCCGGGGGCCAGCACCUACCCUGGCGUUCUCAAUGAGGAUGCUGGUGCUCUGCCCGUUGGUGCCCUCGGUGCUCUGGCCGCUGCCGGCGCUGCGGAUGCUGCCGAUGCUGCCCUCGCUGCCCACGCUGUUCCUGUCUCCUGCUGUUUGGGGCAGGAGCGGGGCACGUCAGCCGCGCAGGCCUGCCGGUACCCGCGCACGCAGCGCCACGGGGCAGCGCCCCYGGGCCAGGGCGACACAAAGCUCCCCGGCAAGGACCCUACUGCUUCACCACAUGGCCAUGGCCUCGGUUGCCUGCGCAGGAACAGGCCUGGCGUCGGCCAACUCGGGGACGCCGGUAAAGACCAGUCUCACACGAGAGCCUUCCAGCCACCAACGAUCUACCAGUGCCUCCCACCUCCCAGCGCACAUGGCAUGGACAGGGCAGCCUGGGCUGGCAGGGGCGCACGGAGGGGCUGUGGGGACCGAGCCGGGCCGAGGACACGGGGAGGGAAGGGGGCUGCUCUACGGGCUCCCCUAAACUCCACUUCCCUGUGGCUGCUCCCCUCUCGUCUGGCUGUUUCCCUGCUGCGAGCUGGAAAGAGUCUUCCCCUGUGUCCCCCUGCGCAGCAGGGCAGGGUGACAGGGGAAGGUCCCCAGCCCGUCUCCCUCCCCAGCAGCACCCCUGACCUGAGCCGUCAGGGCCCGGGACCGUCCGGGUUAGGGUGA